UUAAAUUGAAGAGUUUGAUCAUGGCUCAGGUUGAACGCUGGCGGCAGGCCUAACACAUGCAAGUCGAACGGUAACAGGAAGCAGCUUGCUGCUU
rnacentral:rRNA from 1 species